rnacentral:rRNA from 1 species
AUUGAACGCUGGCGGCAGGCUUAACACAUGCAAGUCGAACGAGUGGCGGACGGGUGAGUAAUGCUUGGGAAUUUAGCUUAUGGAGGGGGAUACCUACGGGAAACAGUAGCUAAUACCGCGUACCAUAGGAUGAGCCCAAGUGGGAUUAGGUAGUUGGUGAGGUAAAGGCUCACCAAGCCGACGAUCUCUAGCUGGUCUGAGAGGUUGACCGACCACACGUGGCCGUAGAAAGGCCCCAGACUCCAACGGGAGGCAGAGGUGGGAAAUAUUGCGCAAGGGGGGCAUCCUAACGAAGCCAUGCCGCGGAAAUGAAGAAGGCCUUCGGGUUGUAAAGUUCUUUCGGUAGCGAGGCGUUAACUACAGAAGAAGCACCGGCUAACUCCGUGCCAGCAGCCGCGGUAAUUC